GAUACGGAUGUGGACACUCCUUGUUGCUUUCUAAUCUUGUCAGAGAUUAACCAUCCAUUUUUCAUACCUGUCAACACAUAGGUGACCAUUUACACCCUAGAAACAGUGUCAUAUACAAAGCCUGUCGAACAGUUAUACUCCAUUCCUUGUUGAGAACAAGAAGUUGGGACUUCCAGUGGGAAUACAAAGAUGGAGAAAGUUGAGAAGCAGGGCGAGUUCAUCUACCGCUAAUGUACUGUCGCCACGUCAUGCCGAAGACACCAGACACGACACCCCAUCCAGUCAUAUUAUACUGACACCAGUCCUGUUUCCUUGCUCC